rnacentral:rRNA from 1 species
UAGCAAUACCGAAGAAAGUCUAGUGGCGAACGGGUGCGUAACACGUGGGCAAUCUGCCUUAAAGUGGGGGAUAGCUCGGCGAAAGCCGGAUUAAUACCGCAUGUGAUCAGGGGAGACAUCUUCCCAACAUCAAAGUCGGGGCAACCUGACGCUUUUUGAGGAGCCCGCGGCCUAUCAGCUAGUUGGUGAGGUAACGGCUCACCAAGGCUUUGACGGGUAGCUGGUCUGAGAGGACGACCAGUCACACUGGAACUGAGACACGGUCCAGACACCUACGGGUGGCAGCAGUCGAGAAUUUUUCUCAAUGGGGGAAACCCUGAAGGAGCGACGCCGCGUGGAGGAUGAAGGUCUUCGGGUUGUAAACUCCUGUCAUUUGGGAACAAUGCUUACGUAUUAACUGUACGUGAGUUGAUAGUACCAGAAGAGGAAGAGACGGCUAACUCUGUGCCAGCAGCCGCGGUAAUACAGAGGUCUCAAGCGUUGUUCGGAUUCAUUGGGCGUAAAGGGUGUGUAGGUGGCACGCUAAGUCGGGUGUGAAAUUUCGGAGCUUAACUCCGAAACUGCAUUCGAUACUGACGUGCUUGAGGACUGGAGAGGAGACUGGAAUUCACGGUGUAGCA